AGCAGUCGCCGCGGUAAUACAGAGGGUGCGAGCGUUAAUCGGAUUUACUGGGCGUAAAGCGUGCGUAGGCGGCUUCUUAAGUCGGAUGUGAAAUCCCUGAGCUUAACUUAGGAAUUGCAUUCGAUACUGGGAAGCUAGAGUAUGGGAGAGGAUGGUAGAAUUCCAGGUGUAGCGGUGAAAUGCGUAGAGAUCUGGAGGAAUACCGAUGGCGAAGGCAGCCAUCUGGCCUAAUACUGACGCUGAGGUACGAAAGCAUGGGGAGCAAACAGGAUUAGAUACCCCUGUAGUCCCUGUCUUUUAUAC
rnacentral:rRNA from 1 species